rnacentral:rRNA from 1 species
AUUGAACGCUGGCGGCAUGCCUUACACAUGCAAGUCGAACGGUAACAGGUCUUCGGAUGCUGACGAGUGGCGAACGGGUGAGUAAUACAUCGGAACGUGCCUAGUAGUGGGGGAUAACUACUCGAAAGAGCGGCUAAUACCGCAUGAGAUCUACGGAUGAAAGCAGGGGAUCGCAAGACCUUGUGCUACUAGAGCGGCCGAUGGCAGAUUAGGUAGUUGGUGGGAUAAAAGCUUACCAAGCCGACGAUCUGUAGCUGGGCUGAGAGGACGAUCAGCCACACUGGGACUGAGACACGGCCCAGACUCCUACGGGAGGCAGCAGUGGGGAAUUUUGGACAAUGGGCGCAAGCCUGAUCCAGCAAUGCCGCGUGCAGGAUGAAGGCCUUCGGGUUGUAAACUGCUUUUGUACGGAACGAAAAGCCCUGGGUUAAUACCCUGGGGUCAUGACGGUACCGUAAGAAUAAGCACCGGCUAACUACGUGCCAGCCGCCGCGGUAAGAC